GUCUAUGUAGUAUAUUAAUUACACUGGUCUUGUAAAUCAGAAAAGGGAGAAAGCCCCCUCCCCAAAGACU
rnacentral:tRNA from 1 species